CAGAAGGCAGUGCUCAACUGAAUUUGUACCGGAUUUUUGCAGAGUUUUGAAUUUUUUUAAAGCAUUUUUUUGCAAUUGUCUGAUAAUACAGACACAGACUUACCCACAUGCAUCAUUAAAUUAACAUUAAUAUUGUUUUCAUCGUUGUUA